GCCGGGAGUGGUGGCGCAUGCCUGUAAUUCCAGGGGCUCAGGAGGCUGAGGCAGGAGGAUCAUGAGUUCAAAACCAACCUCAACAACUUAGCAAAACAAUUAGCAACUUAUUGAGACCCUGUCUCUG
rnacentral:sRNA from 1 species